CUCAAAGUGCUGGGAUUACAGGUGUGAGCCACUGUGUCCAUACUCAACAUCUUUGAUUACUUCCUAAAGGUAGAUUCCAAGAAAUUAGGUUACUGGUCCCACAGAUAGUCAGAGGGGCUAUAGGCAAUAACAUUGUUAACCCCAAGGUUCUAGACCUGUCAGCAAACAAGCUCAGCUGAUGAGAUCAGGAGGUAUCCAUGCAAGAGUUUUGAAAGAACCCAAAGAUGAAAGUGCUGAAAGAAUCAUGAAAUGUAAUGAUUUAUGAUUACAAAGAGACACGGUGCUUAAAAACACCACAAAUUAAAAAUUAGCUGCCCUGAGCAAAUAAAAGUUCGCGAAGGGCACCCUAGAAAUUAUGGGCUCCUAAGUUUGACUUUCGUGUUGUGCAAGCUAGUGGGGUCAAUGCUGAAGGGAAGCGUUCCUCUAGUAUGUCAUGCCGUGUUGCAGAAACCAUGCAUGAAGGACCUUAAGGUAUGCUUCCUUGCAUGGAAAAGCGAGCUGUGAACUGUCGUUAAAGGUUUCUUCCCAUCCUGGUCCCGAAAGACCAUAAAGUUUCACUGGAGAAUCACCUCCCUACUACAUUUUGAAGGCAGCCAUGACUUUAUCCAGCACUAGGUGAUGACUUUCCUUGGAACUGGUAUAUCGUGAAAUCCUACCAUCAUUUUAAUUAGCAUGGGAAAUGUUGGAGCACCAUACACAAACAAAUUCCUUUCUUGGCUUCUUGGUUGCCCUUCAUAUGCAAAAUCCAUGUUUUUUUCCCCCUAGCUUCUGUCACAGGAUCCUUGGGGUGUAAUUUUUCUGGCCAGAAACCUCUGUGGCCAGUAGUGCCUUUGCUGGAGUUUUGCUUGGGCCCUCUGGGCUCAUUCUGCCCACUCAGUUUGGCAGGCUGCUCUUGGUUCGUGCCACCAGUCUUCAUCCCAUACUUAGAGG